rnacentral:rRNA from 1 species
UACGAAGGGGGCUAGCGUUGUUCGGAAUUACUGGGCGUAAAGCGCGUGUAGGCGGGUCUUUAAGUCAGGGGUGAAAUGCCAGGGCUCAACCUUGGAACUGCCUUUGAUACUGGAGACCUUGAGUCCGGGAGAGGUGAGUGGAAUUGCGAGUGUAGAGGUGAAAUUCGUAGAUAUUCGCAAGAACACCAGUGGCGAAGGCGGCUCACUGGCCCGGAACUGACGCUGAGACGCGAAAGCGUGGGGAGCAAACGGG